rnacentral:rRNA from 1 species
AUUGAACGCUGGCGGCAGGCCUAACACAUGCAAGUCGAGCGAGCGGCGGACGGGUGAGUAAUGUCUGGGAAACUGCCCGAUGGAGGGGGAUAACUACUGGAAACGGUAGCUAAUACCCCAUAUCCUCAGAUGUUCCCAGAGGGGUUUAGCUAGUAGGUGGGGUAAUGGCGCACCUAGGCGACGAUCCCUAGCUGGUCUGAGAGGAUGACCAGCAACACUGGAACUGAGACACGGUCAAGAUUCCUACGGGAGGAAGCAGUGGGGAAUAUUGCACAAUGGGCGCAAGCCUGAUGCAGCCAUGCCGCGGGUGUGAAGAAGGCCUUCGGGUUGUAAAGCACUUUCAGCGGGGAGGCGUUACCCGCAGAAGAAGCACCGGCUAACUCCGUGCCAGCAGCCGCGGUAAUAC